rnacentral:rRNA from 1 species
UACGAAGGGGGCUAGCGUUGCUCGGAAUCACUGGGCGUAAAGCGCGCGCAGGCGGUCCUUUAAGUCAGGGGUGAAAGCCCAGAGCUCAACUCUGGAACUGCCUUUGAAACUAGAGGACUUGGGUACGGGAGAGGUGAGUGGAAUUCCGAGUGUAGAGGUGAAAUUCGUAGAUAUUCGGAAGAACACCAGUGGCGAAGGCGGCUCACUGGCCCGUUACCGACGCUCAGGCGCGACAGCGUGGGGAGCAAACAGG